rnacentral:rRNA from 1 species
ACGAACGCUGGCGGCGUGCUUAACCCCUGCAAGUCGCACGGAAAGGCCCUGCUUGCAGGGUACUCGAGUGGCGAACGGGUGAGUAACACGUGGGUGAUCUGCCCUGCACUUCGGGAUAAGCCUGGGAAACUGGGUCUAAUACCGGAUAGGAGCCAUUUUUAGUGUGAUGGUUGGAAAGUUUUUUCGGUGUAGGAUGAGCUCGCGGCCUAUCAGCUUGUUGGUGGGGUAAUGGCCUACCAAGGCGGCGACGGGUAGCCGGCCUGAGAGGGUGGACGGCCACAUUGGGACUGAGAUACGGCCCAGACUCCUACGGGAGGCAGCAGUGGGGAAUAUUGCACAAUGGGCGCAAGCCUGAUGCAGCGACGCCGCGGGGGGGAUGACGGCCUUCGGGUUGUAAACUCCUUUCGCUAGGGACGAAGCUUUUUGUGACGGUACCUAGAUAAGAAGCACCGGCUAACUACGUG